GGGAAGGGGUGACUAGUGACAGAGUGAGGAAGGGGGUGACUAGUGACUGAGGGAGGGGUGACUAGGGACAGAGUGAGGGAGGUGGUGACUAGUGACUAGUGACAGUCACCACCUCCCUCACUCUGUCACUAGUCACCCCCUCCCUCACUCUGUCACUGUGUCACCCCCUCCCUCUGUCACUGGUCACCCACUCCCUCCCUCACUCACUCUGUCACCAGUCAUCCCCUCACUCUGUCACUAGUAACCCCUUCCUUCCC